UAAGUAAUAAAUUAUUAUUUUUUUUAUAGUUUGUUUUUUAUUAAAAGUAAUUUAUUUAUUAGUAGUUUUUAUCGAAAUUAUAGUUUUUAUUAUAGCUAAUAGUACCGUGGGGGAAUUUUUUAUUUUAUUAAAAGUAGUUUUAAUUUAAUGUACCUUUUGUAUCAGGGUUAAUUAAUAUAUUUUAUGGAUAUAGUUUUCCCGAAAAAAGAAGAGAUAUAAUAAAAAUUUAUUUUUUGUUUCAAAAGGAUUGAUAAUUUUAUUAUAGUAAUGAAAUGUUAUUCGUUUCUUUAUAUCUGGUUGCUUUAGAAUUUAAUUUAAUUAAGGUCUAAUUUUGUUUUAAUGUAUUUUAUUAUUAUUUAGGCUAAGGAUUUUGGGGAUAAGCUCAUAAUUCUUUUUAUAACUUUAAUUUAUUUAUAGAUUUUGUAGGCUUAGAAUCAGCCAUCAUUAAUUUCGUUAUAGAUGAUUCUUUUUAUUUAUUUAUUUAUUUGAGUUUAAUUUUUUAUAAAGUUAAUUUAAUAAAUUUAUUGUUUAAUACAAUAAUGAUUAAAUUAGUAUAAUUUAUAAUUAGUUUAUAGUAACUCGGCAAGUUUAAUGUUCGCCUGUUUAACAAAAACAUGUCCUUUAGAUUAUUAAUUUAAGGUCUAACCUGCCCAAUGAUUAAGAUUGAAUGGCCGCGGUAUUUUAACUGUGCUAAGGUAGCAUAAUCAUUUGUCUUUUAAUUGAAGGCUAGUAUGAAUGGUUGGACGAGAUAUUAACUUUCUUUAAACUAAGAAUUAUAAUUUAAUUUUUUAGUUAAAAAGCUAAAAUUUAUUAAUGGGACGAGAAGACCCUAUAGAUCUUUACUUCUUUUUUACUUAACAAAUUUAGUUGUAUAAUUAAUUUAAGUGAAAUAAAAGUUUGAUUGGGGUGAUUGCAGAAUUGAUUUAACUUCUGUUUAAAUUUAUCAUUAAUUAAUGAUUAAAUGAUCCAGUUAUAUUGAUUAUAAGAUUAAGUUACCUUAGGGAUAACAGCGUAAUUUUUUUGGAUAGUUCGUAUUGAUAAAAAAGUUUGCGACCUCGAUGUUGGAUUAAAAUAAGUGAUAGGCGCAGUAGCUUAUUUACUAGGUCUGUUCGACCUUUAAUUUUUUACAUGAUCUGAGUUCAGACCGGCGUGAGCCAGGUCAGUUUCUAUCUUUUAAUUUCUGAUAUGCUUUAGUACGAAAGGACCAAGCAUAUAAUAUAUUAUUUGUAUUUUGAUUUAUAUU
rnacentral:rRNA from 1 species